rnacentral:rRNA from 1 species
UUACCGGUUUGACAUUUACGAAAGUACCUUUGGAACAGGUGCUGCAUGGCUGUCGUCAGCUCGUGCUGUGAAGUGUCGGGUUAAGUCCCUUAACGAGCGCAACCCUAUCUUAGUUGCUAACAUAUGAGACUCUAGGAGACUGCCGGUGUCAACCGGAGGAAGGUGGGGAUGACGUCAAGUCCUCAUGGCCUUUAUGCCGGGCUGCACACGUGCUACAAUGGGGUACAAACGGCACCGCGAGGCGAGCAAUCGCUAACCGCCCCAGUUCGGAUUGGAGGCUGCAACUCGCCUCCAUGAAGUCGGAAUCGCUAGUAAUCGCGAUCAGCACGCGCGGUGAAUACGUUCCUGAGCNUUGUACACACCGCCCGUCAAGUCAUGGAAGCUGGAGGCCGAA